AGUAAAAGUCGUAACAAGGUUUCCGUAGGUGAACCUGCGGAAGGAUCAUUACAAAAUACCUACGCCGGCCUCUCGGGGCUGUGUGUUUCUAUUUACCCACCCUUUGCCUAUGUGUACCCUUAUCGCUUCCUCGGCAGGUCCGCCUGCCGCCAGGAACCCCAUAAACCCUUUGCAUUUAUACAAGAAAACUUCUGAUACAAACCUAAAUUAUUACAACUUUUAACAAUGGAUCUCUUGGUUCUGGCAUCGAUGAAGAACGCAGCGAAAUGCGAUAAGUAGUGUGAAUUGCAGAAUUCAGUGAAUCAUCGAAUCUUUGAACGCACAUUGCGCCCCUCGGUAUUCCGUGGGGCACGCCUGUUCGAGCGUCAUUUACACCCUCAAGCCUAGCUUGGUGUUGGGCGUCUGUCCCGCAUUCGUUGCGCGGACUCGCCUCAAAGUCAUUGGCGGCGGUCGUGCCGGCUCCUCGCGCGGCACAUUUGCGCUUCUCGGAGGCCCGGCGGAUCAGCAUCCAGCAAGCUACUUUUUAUGACUUGACCUCGGAUCAGGUGAGGAUACCCGCUGAACUUAAGCAUAUCAAUAAGCGGAGGA
rnacentral:rRNA from 1 species